rnacentral:lncRNA from 9 species
GCUCAUUCCCAAACUGACGGGGCCCAACACUGGUGGGGCGAGCCAUCACCCCGGCUACUCCUGACUUGGGGGGGCAGCAAACUCAACACCUUCAAGAUCUAGGAGCCGGGGUGGUGGGGCGGUCGAUGCCAGAGGAGGUGUCCUAGAGAAAGUGUCAAGAAAAAGCCGGGGGGAAACUCCAGCUGGGUUGUCAAUGGCAAAGCUUCGGUGAAAAGUGAAAAUAGGACGAGGGGUCAAAAUGAGGCAGGUCAGGGGAGGGGACGGCCAUGGUCAAGGAGCAGGGCAGGGAAAGACCCAAGUCUGCUUGAAGGUCACGGAGCAACACGGACCCAGGAAGGGCAGUAGGAUAAGGCAGAGUUGGCUUGAUCAGAGGGGAAACUUUCUAACAACCCGAGCUGUCCAAAAAUAAAACGCAGUCCCUAUCAAGAAAGAGAUGCAGUCAGUCAGGCAACAUGAGGGGGCAUGGCUGCCAGCGACAACUGUUGCAGACACAUGGCCAUCACCGGGGGUUAACAGAUGCUGGGAAGAGAGGCCCGGGUUCCAUCGCACUGGGAGGCCGCCUGGACCAGAGUAGACUUGAAAGGGGACCCACAGACCAAACUGAGGCGGGAGGCCCCGAAUCUAAUCCUGAUUCAGCACACCCUCCCCGCAGAAGCUCAGGUUUGGGGGAGCGAUUCCUCAGUUCUCAUCCAGCUCUAAAUUUUUAAAAAAAAGAGACGCGGUUGCUUAAAACGAG